rnacentral:rRNA from 1 species
AUUGAACGCUGGCGGCAGGCCUAACACAUGCAAGUCGAGCGGAUGACGGGAGCUUGCUCCUUGAUUCAGCGGCGGACGGGUGAGUAAUGCCUAGGAAUCUGCCUGGUAGUGGGGGACAACGUUUCGAAAGGAACGCUAAUACCGCAUACGUCCUACGGGAGAAAGCAGGGGACCUUCGGGCCUUGCGCUAUCAGAUGAGCCUAGGUCGGAUUAGCUAGUUGGUGGGGUAAUGGCUCACCAAGGCGACGAUCCGUAACUGGUCUGAGAGGAUGAUCAGUCCAACUGGAACUGAGAAACGGUCCAGACUCCGACGGGAGGCAGCAGUGGGGAAUAUUGGACAAUGGGCGAAAGCCUGAUCCAGCCAUGCCGCGUGUGUGAAGAAGGUCUUCGGAUUGUAAAGCACUUUAAGUUGGGAGGAAGGGCAGUAAGCGAAUACCUUGCUGUUUUGACGUUACCGACAGAAUAAGCACCGGCUAACUCUGUGCCAGCAGCCGCCGUAACAC